rnacentral:misc_RNA from 1 species
AGAAAAAGAAAAGGGGAAAAAAAAGAAUAAUGAGUUCAUACUUAAAUCUAAACAAAAAAAAUAAUGGUAGAUAGGAUCAAGAGCAAUUUGGUUACAGAGGAAAGCAAGUUGGAACUUGUUUGACUGAUGAUAUCCCAGAAAAGUAAACUGUAAGAGAAUGAAUGAAGGCAAUAGUCAAAUUAUGUAAACAAAACAAUGAAAAUUAUAAGC